GUGAGAUUCAUCCCUGCCAAAUCCAACCGGGCCAUGCACACACAAUGACCACUAAGAUGGCUUGGUCUGUGAUGUUGACAGUCCUGAUGCAUAUUUUCCUGCUGUCCCACAGUGUUCAGUGUUCAGAGUCCAAGGAAGUCUCCC